CCCGGGCCAGGGCUGAUCUCACAUCCUUCCAGUCCCUUCCCAAGGCUGCGGGACUGCCGGAUCGCAGCCCCCGUGGCGCGGUUCCCCCCGGCUGCCACAUAACUUCUCCCCGCGGCGCCCUGCCCAGCCCGUGUGUAAGUCGUGCGAGCGUCGGAUCAUGUUUUGCCUGCCUCAGAAAGCAUCCGGCACGCUCGCCGCUGCACUGAAACCCCAGACAAACAAACAGCAGUUGUGCAAGGGCGCAGGGCAGACAUCUCCGGCAGGAAACGAAGCGCAGGACUCGCUCUAUUUUAAUCCCGCCAAGGGUCUUCUUGGAAGCGAGGCAGAGCCCGGCUGCGCAGAGUUAAGAAUGAAACCCUAUUUUUAGCCUGUCCCUGGUGAGCCUAUCGCCGGGGAAGCAGCAAAGCCCAGCUCAGCGUGGUCUCCUGCCGGUGACCUCCAAGCUCUCCAGACGGAUGGGUACAGCUCUGUAAAUAGCGUGCUCCCCACGGCUGUUGAUUAAAUUCAACCCAGCUCCAUAACGGCAACCAGCCGCUGCUGUACCUGGUUGCUCAAGUGUCCUGAAUGGAGACGGGCUGAGUGAAGGCACAUCAUCACUGCAAAACAGCAUCUGAGUCUGAGAGUGAGCAGCCUCGCUGCAAAACUGAACACAGAGGGAUGGAGUGAGAGCCACGGAGACUUCAGGAGGCUUGUCUGCGGGUAUCCUAACAUUGCAGGUUUUCAGAGCGAAAGGACUGUUGUUAAUAUUCAUGCAAGGGAAGAUGAAAAGGCACUGGAGAAGGCAGCGCAUGGCAGGGUACCAAGGAAGUCCCAGCAUGUCUUAUCCUGUGCUCUCAGCGGCGAGAGGAAGGCUCACAGCCCAAGCAGAGUUGCUCUGUGCUAUAGAUUGUGCUCCAAGCCUGUAUCCUUGCCAGCUGCCCCUAAACUCAAAUCGAAGGCUCUGGUAUGAAGUAUUAAUUUAAGGCAGCCUCUGCCUAAGUGCCUGGGCUCUCUCUGAAGUGAAGGCUCUUCACCCAGUGAGCCCAGCCUGGCUCAAAUAAGCUUCACUGCUGGCAACCUUAGCUGUAAAGCCAUGGUGUGAAACAGGGAAACUUCCAGACUCAAGCCGUCCUGCCUUGCCAUUCCCUUGCAAGGACUUCAGAGGCCCCUGCGUCUGGAUUUGUCAAGCAUCCAAAUGCCAAGAUAAAUUUAAAAGCAGCUUCAAAAUUACCUUGAGUUCAUAUCUUGUUUGACUGCUCUGCUGAUAAGAAAGACACUAAGUGAUUCCCAUCAGAAAAACAGAGUUCAGGUGUCCUCUAGGGCAGGCCUGGUGCUGACUCUAUCAGGGGUUAAAAGUGGAAAGGUGCCGCAUGGUGAUAACAGCAGAAAUACCCUCCCGAGAGACUCCAGGCUGCCUGGAGAUGUAAUGUGAAGGCGAGUGAACCGGCCUAAAGGUCUCAAGCCAUUAGAUCAGUUUGUACUUCCCCACAGCAUUGCAAUAUUCCUCAGCUGCUUUUAUGUAUUUCUAAAGCUUUCCUCACCUCUGCACAUGAUAGCUGAGCAUGAAGCAUAUCCAUCAAUUUAGCAUUUGACUUCAUCUAUCUCAGUGCAUCCAUCACGUGUCACUUGAGCGUGCUUUCUUCCCUAUGCAGAGCCUAUUUGUAGCCUGUUAUCAGGCCAGAUCCUGAAGAUGCUCUCAGAGAAACUUUCGCUGGAACCAUCUUCCACUGGAAACAUUUUUCUUCUCCUAGAAACUGGCCAAAGAAGAACUGCUCAGAUAUAUCUAAGUGCUCAGUGAGAUUUCUCUUGAAGAAAUCAAGAUCAAAGCUCGUACAAUUAAGGACAAACUAAAAGCAAGGGCACCUUUACUAAAGCUCAUUAAAAAUAUCCUUUGUACCUAUCUCCUGCAUGGCACCCAAAGUCUCAUGAAUACAGUGGUCUAAUGAGAAUGCACUGUUUUUUUUUUUUCCUCAAGUAUUUUUCUCUUCCAUACUUAGCAAAUGUCAUAGUUUAAUUAAGGGAUGUCAAAGGCACAGAGAGCUGCCCCGAGAUAAUCGUCGCCUGCUGCUAUAUAAAUGCUGAGGUGAAGACAAGCGAGAAGGGCUAUCAUGUAAACGGCAAAUUAUGGAGCGAGGGCAAAGUUCAGAACUGGAACUGACAAAACUUUUAUUUAUAGAGGUGGGCUGCUUCUGCUGGCCUGUGCAAUGGGCUCCUCCAUCCUCGGUCCCCUUCGAGUGCUCCCGAGCUCGCUGCUGUCUCUCACGCUGCUUCUCGCUCCCGUGGCUGUGCAGGGAGGUUCACUCCCGGGUGGCUUAAGGCAUCCUCCGGGCAGUGUCUUCAGCAUCUUCCACCUCCCUCAGGACCUUGCUGACAGCCUGUAAUUUAGCCUUUAAAAACAUGCACGUGGCUGCUUCUCUUUUUAUUAGUAUUUACUAAAGUCCUUCCAAUCUUAGACCCUUAAUUUAACAACCUUACAUGAGUCUCACUAGAUUUUCUUUUCCUGAAAAACAACCUAACCCCAAGCCACACAGCUGCCUGCCCCUCUCUCCUGCUGUCUGUGCUUGCUUUCAGAUAGAGCUUGCCUCGUUCUCCUUCCCCUUUUCCUACAUUGGCCAAUAUUGAUCUGAUCAUUCCAGGUGCAGUUUGUGCUAACGGCUUCUUCAUGUUCUGCUUUCUGAGAAAUCCACAACCCACAAACUGUCCUUCUGCUGCUUGUCAUCCUUGUCUGGGGUCUCGAGAAUUCAUUUAGUUCAGAGGUUACUUCUCAGAGUGUUUUACAAGAGGUGCAGUCCCUGCUUUAUUUCACCAGCUACUCCUAAUUCGCAGCAGCUGUGCAGGGGUGACUGAACAACGCCCAGUGAGUUGCUGGUCUCUUCAAAAUUAUCUCCAAAUUAAUCUCAAAGUGCAAUAUUCCCAGAAACAUAUUUCCUUUCAAUGGUAAUGGUGCCCCCACACUAGCAUUGCAUCAACGUGCGGCUCUGGCAGACAGCAGGAGGGGGCUCAGCUCCGGCCUCGAUCCGUGUUCCCGACGAGUGGAGCACCAGCCAUGCAGAAAUGAAAGAAAACAUCUCUGUGGGAUCGUGACACCUCCUACAACCUCCCUGCUAUGUGGCAGACAACUGCAGAUAUGGGCUACAGCAUUUCCAGACUCCCCAGGUCAAGCCAGAGGGAUAAUUUUGCUUUGAUCGUGCCUGACUUCUCCCUGCAUUGUUAAGGAACAGCUGUAUUGUGGCUGGCCUUGAUGAAUACUUUAUCAGACCCACCGGUGAGGUUCGUCAAGGGGAACCUCCACACAGAGGUCCCUGGGGUGUAUGGCUCGUAAUGUAAAUAAUUGUAAGAACAAAAAGGAACCAAAUUAACUCCUUCACAUGGAAAAACAGCACAAGUCUUCUGAGCCAGGAAACAAACAAACAGAAGGGAUUUCUGAGGCGUUCCUCUACAAAACUAUCAUUUCAUUAGCAAGAAAUGAGCUUCAUAAAAUAUUCUGUAGUUUUACCCAUAACUUCUGAUAAAACUAACUCCCCUGUACCACUCAAUUGCACUUACUAGCAAGCCACUUGUCUAUCAGGUUCAUUUUGUUAUGCCAGGCACGCCAGGAGGAAAGGGCAUGCAAUUCUUAAUCAGACCUGGGAUACUCUUCACGAAGGGCACAUCGCCCCAACGAGCCACAUCCAUCACAGCUGCCCUCGGAGAAGAGGGGCUGUAUCUCCUUAUAUCCAGGCAUAUGGCUGUAUAGUAUAGAAAUUUAUCUCCUCCACCAAACUCUGGCUCCAAUAUAUUUGCAGAGCUGGAGGUGGGGGCAGCCCGGAGCUGACCUGGAGAACCUCCUGCUAGCGAGAGGCACCGCGCAGCUGACAGCUGAGCAGAGCACACACAUGCAGACCGACAUGCUUGCUGUCUGUAGGUGAGAUUUUUUGUGGCACACCAGGAAAAUGAAGCCUAAGGCUUAAUUUGGGGAGGGUCUCAGAGCCCUAGCAGUUUUCCUCGCAGGCUGGCUGCUCCAGCCAAGGCAGCAGCAGCAGUCCAAAGGCAUCCAUCCCUUCCUGCAGGGCUCUGCAGGCCUCCGCCGCUGCCUCAUCUCCCAGGGAGACACGGAGCGCGCCGCUGUUACCAUGGCUCUGCGAGACCUUUAGCAAACACACAAUGCUCUCCAAUAAAAGCUGUCAGCGGCGCGGGUACCUCUCGCUGCUCAGCACAGCCCUACGUGACCGGGAACACUGCUGCGCGGCAGCCAGCGACGGCACAGCCCAGCAAGGGGCUCUCGUAACAUCCUCCCUCGCUCAGGCGGCUCUAGUAAAAUCCAGGCCCAAGGACUUCGGUUAAUGCUUUCUCUAAAAUUUUACGCAGCUUGGCUCGGACACAGGUUCAGCCUCGCAUAAUUCUCUGUUGCAACACUGCUGGCCUCCCUCAGUGGUUAUACCCAAGAUUAAUUUAACUCAUUUUUCACUUCGGUGGGGUUACUCAAAGUCAGCGUUCAGGGGAAUGCGAGCCCUCAGCUUUCAAUAAAUGCCCCCUGUUUCUCAUUAA